rnacentral:rRNA from 1 species
AGAGAGAGACAUGCGCGCAUAUCAAUAAGCGGAGGAAAAGAAACUAACAAGGAUUCCCCUAGUAACGGCGAGUGAAGCGGGAAGAGCUCAAAUUUGAAAUCUUAAAGGGUUUCCCUUUACGAAUUGUAGUUUAAAGAAGUGUUUUCUGUUGAGGUUUUGGUAAAAGCUCUUUGGAAUAGGACAUCAUAGAGGGUGAGAAUCCCGUAUUUGACCAUUUACUUCAAGCGUUGUGAUACACUUUCAAAGAGUCGGAUUGUUUGGGAAUGCAGUCCAAAAUGGGUGGUAAAUUUCAUCUAAAGCUAAAUAUUGGCGAGAGACCGAUAGCGAACAAGUACCGUGAGGGAAAGAUGAAAAGAACUUUGAAAAGAGAGUUAAACAGUACGUGAAAUUGUCAAAAGGGAAGCGUUUGACACCAGUGUUGUUUUUCUGAAAAUCAAUUAAAGAACUGUUUAUGCUAAGUUGUUUAGACUUUAUCAGCUAACUGUUUAGUUUUGAGCUUUUCUUUAAUGCACUUUUCAGUUAACAAGUCAACAUCAAUUUCUUUUGCUGUAAAAAAGCUUGAGGAAGGUGGCCUGAGAUUCGUCUUAAGUGUUUAUAGCCUCUUGCCUAUGCAGUCGGAGAGAUUGAGGUCUGCAGCGUAGAUCCUUCGGGGCUAAAUGCAUUUGUGCUAAGUUAUAGUAUUUUAUAGACAACUUGUUGACUAUGAUUUGUCUUGUAGCUUACUCGCUUAUGUUAUUUUACCUACGCUUAGGAUGUUGAGCGCAUGUCUCUCUCU